rnacentral:rRNA from 1 species
AGAGUUUGAUCAUGGCUCAGAACGAACGCUGGCGGCGCGCCUAAUACAUGCAAGUCGAACGAGAAUGUGUAGCAAUACACAUGUACAGUGGCGAACGGGUGAGGACUACAUGGGUAACCUACCCUCGAGUGGGGAAUAACUAGCCGAAAGGUUAGCUAAUACCGCGUACGCUUCCAAGACUGCGGUUUUGGAAGGAAAGCGAUACCGUGGGUAUCGCGCUCUUGGAUGGGCUCAUGCCCUAUCAGCUUGUUGGUGAGGUAACGGCUCACCAAGGCUUCGACGGGUAGCUGAUCUGAGAGGAUGAUCAGCCACACUGGCACUGCGACACGGGCCAGACUCCUACGGGAGGCAGCAGUAAGGAAUAUUGCGCAAUGGGCGAAAGCCUGACGCAGCGACGCCGCGUGGGGGAUGAAGGUCUUCGGAUUGUAAACCCCUUUCGGGAGGGAAGAUGGGAUGGGGUAACCCAUUCGGACGGUACCUCCAGAAGCAGCCACGGCUAACUUCGUGCCAGCAGCCGCGGUAAUACGAAGGUGGCAAGCGUUGUUCGGAUUUACUGGGCGUACAGGGAGCGUAGGCGGUUGGAUAAGCCCUCCGUGAAAUCUCCAGGCUUAACCUGGAAAGUGCAGAGGGGACUGUUCAGCUAGAGGAUGGGAGAGGAGCGCGGAAUUCCCGGUGUAGCGGUGAAAUGCGUAGAGAUCGGGAGGAAGGCCGGUGGCGAAGGCGGCGCUCUGGAACAUUUCUGACGCUGAGGCUCGAAAGCGUGGGGAGCAAACAGGAUUAGAUACCCUGGUAGUCCACGCCUUAAACGAUGGAUACUAAGUGUCGGCGGGUUACCGCCGGUGCCGCAGCUAACGCAGUAAGUAUCCCGCCUGGGAAGUACGGGCCGCAAGGGUUGAAACUUAAAUGAAUUGACGG